UACGGAGGGUGCGAGCGUUGUCCGGAAUCACUGGGCGUAAAGGGCGCGUAGGCGGCUGGGGAAGUCGGCGGUGAAAGCCCGGAGCUCAACUCCGGGUCGGCCGUCGAGACUCCUCGGCUCGAGCUCACUAGAGGCAGAUGGAAUUCCGGGUGUAGCGGUGGAAUGCGUAGAGAUCCGGAAGAACACCGGUGGCGAAGGCGGUCUGCUGGGGUGAGGCUGACGCUGAGGCGCGACAGCGUGGGGGAGCAAACAGG
rnacentral:rRNA from 1 species